CAGUCGCCGCGGUAAUACGUAGGGUGCGAGCGUUAAUCGGAAUUACUGGGCGUAAAGCGUGCGCAGGCGGUUUUGUAAGACAGGCGUGAAAUCCCCGGGCUCAACCUGGGAAUGGCGCUUGUGACUGCAAAGCUAGAGUGCGGCAGAGGGGGAUGGAAUUCCGCGUGUAGCAGUGAAAUGCGUAGAUAUGCGGAGGAACACCGAUGGCGAAGGCAAUCCCCUGGGCCUGCACUGACGCUCAUGCACGAAAGCGUGGGGAGCGAACAGGAUUAGAGACCCCCGUAGUCCCUGUCUCUUAUAC
rnacentral:rRNA from 1 species